CUUAUAACAUACUUUUCAACUCUCAGUUUUCAGAGAUACCUAUCAGGCUGAUUUAUAAUUACAGGUUUAUACCUGGACUUUAUGACCAAAAAAAUAGGUUAGAAAAGCUCUUCACAAUUACCUGACUAAUUAGUGACUAAUUUGUCACCACUAAACCCAGUGUUCUUUUCAGCACUUUUACUUGGUUUCCCUCAUCUUGCUUGGUGGACUGGAAAAACUAAUAUUCUUUCUUCUGAGCAGACUCUCAUAAAUACUGAAUUUGUUAAAACAAGCAAGUAAAAAGGCCACUUUUUACAGAGACUUU
rnacentral:lncRNA from 1 species